rnacentral:rRNA from 1 species
UACGUAGGGUGCAAGCGUUGUCCGGAAUUAUUGGGCGUAAAGAGCUCGUAGGCGGUCUGUCGCGUCUGCUGUGAAAACUCAGGGCUCCAACCCUGAGCUUGCAGUGGGUACGGGCAGACUAGAGUGCGGUAGGGGAGACUGGAAUUCCUGGUGUAGCGGUGAAAUGCGCAGAUAUCAGGAGGAACACCGGUGGCGAAGGCGGGUCUCUGGGCCGUAACUGACGCUGAGGAGCGAAAGCGUGGGAGCGAACAGG